GUCCGUAUAGUGUAGUGGUUUAUCACGCUUGUCUUACACACAAGAGGUCCCAGGUUCGAUCCCUGGUGUGGACA
rnacentral:tRNA from 3 species